rnacentral:lncRNA from 1 species
CCUGAGUAUCCAUUUCUUGCUCUUGUUUGACUCUACUUUAACACCGAAAGGAGAAUGCUUCCUUUACUCCCACCCUUGCUGAAUGCUGCUCAAGAAGAGUGGGGAACACGGCUUUCUUGUGCCUCUGUACAAGUAGAGCAGAAGAACCUGCCAUGGAGAUCCUGUAGAGGUGGCCCUCUGUGGAUAAGUGAAUACAGCAAUAUCCUAGGGUUUUACUUUGUGACAUCAUUGCUUCUCGAGAACCAACUGACCACGAACAGCAACAAGGUCUUCAAUCAGAAUUAAAACUCAAUUCAAAACACUUUCGAAGAGCAUUUGGAGAUACAUAUUAAGAGACUGCAGUGUCUAAACUUUUAGAAGUAAAAAUGCCAUUUCUAGUCCUAUGUCCUACAAAUUCCAUUUCUAGGUAUAUACCCAAGAAAAAUGAAAAUGUAUGUCCACAUAGAAACUUCUGCAAAAAUGUUUCUACUAGCAUUAUUCAUAAUAGUAAUGUGUGGAAACAACCCAAAUGUCCAUCAACAGACAAAUGGAUAAACAAAAUGUAGUAUAUAUCCCUACAGUGAAAUAUUAUUUGCCUAUAAAAGGGAAUGAAGUAUUGAAGGCUACAAUGUGGAUGAGCCUUGGAAACAUUAUACUAAGUGAAAGAAGUUAGUUACAUAAGACCACAUAUUACAUGAUUCUAUUAAUAUAAAACAUCCACAACAGGGAAAUCUAUGGAGACAGAAUGCAGACUAUUGGUAGGGGUGGUGGGAAGGGGAGAAAAGGGUAGGGAAGUGAUAGCUAAAGAGUACUGGGUUUCUUUUGGAGAUAAUAAAAAUGUUUCAAAAUUGACUUUGGUGAUGGUUUCAUGUAUCUGUGAAUACACAAAAAACACAUAUAAUUAUACUGUAAAAAUGGGUGAAUUAUGUGGUGAGUGAAUAAUACUCAACAAAUCUCUUCAAAAAUAAUUAUAUUUAUGGGAAAUCAAAGUUGAGAAAAUGAUCCAAAAUAAACCAGAAAACUCCUUUCG